UUUACUUAUAAAUUGAUGAAAAAAACUCUAUUAAAUACAAAAGAGAAAAAAUAUGACUAAAAUACUCAUGUUUGUUUAUAUUUUGAUCAUCUUUUUUUCUCUAUUUCUUGUUGAAGCUGGUAGAGGUGGAAGUGGAUAUACAACCAUUCCUUGUACUGUUGACACUUAUGAAAUAGAUUGUCCAGAGAAACUUAAUUGUAUUCGUAGGUGUGUUGCAGGGUUUUGUGACUAUUUGAGUACGAGUAUAUGAGACUUUCCCAAGUGUUUUAAUUUGAAUUGACUUUAUGAAAAAUUCAUGUAAGAUUAUAACUCGAAUAAAUAUGUUAAAUAUCUAUAUCACAAAUCUAUUGAAGUUCAUAUAAGAAUAAAUAUUUAGAAUAAUAUGUUUUAUUCUAUCUCCACGAAUGUGUGCCUCUUUUUAUAGAACUAUGAAUGCAAUAUUAUUUUCAUAAAUUGUUGAUAAAAUUAUUCUUCUAAUAGACAAACCACGCAGAGAGAGAUUAUAGAGAAAAUAAUAACAAACAUGUUCUCAACACAGCAUUCAUCAAAACAACGCAAAUACAGUUUGAAAUUAAACGUAUAUAUGCUAUUGAAUAUGGUUCUAUAAUUUCACCAUCCCUUCUUAACACUAGAAGAAAAAUGACAUAUACCAACCGCAUCUUUUACUAACUAUUUUUCAAGUCGUUGGUACAGGUAUAAUUAACCGUAGGUAUAGGAGGUAUAAGACUGGGUCAGCACGCGGGAAUCUUCCCUCCUUCAUUUUGGUUUUUAUUUUUCAUUUUUGGCAAAUCCAAAAAAUAAAUAAUUUAAGAUAAAAUUGUUCUUCCUAUCGUGAAACCCUUCUCUUUAGGUUACGAGCUCCACCAAAAUAUCUUCUCUAUCAUGAAACCCUUCUUCUUUCAUCUUCAAUUGGUAACCCUUAUUAUUAUUCCAUAAAAAAACUCACCCAUCAGCCACUAUUUACCCUUCUUCUUCCAUUGUUACCUUAAAACCCUUGUUUCUCAAACCCUUCAAAUCUCAAUUUCUCUCUUAAAAAACAUAACCCUAAAAGCUCCUCCCUCAACCUUUUCCUUCAUCUCUUUAGUUUUUCGAUAAUGUUAGAUUCUCCGUUCCUCUAGAUCUAAUCUCCGUCUUGCUGUCAAACUCUGUUUCAGCGAUCUCUUUUGACGUACUCUGUUUCACCAUAACGUGUCACAGUAUUCCGUUUCUCUAUACUAUCUCUGUGUUCUCUUUCUUUGGUUUGCAUUUGUGUUGGACUAUUGGUGGAGCUUUGUCUCUCUAUUCUUGCAUUUCAAGAUGAUUCAUAGUGAAUAAAUGGAUAAAAAUGAUUUUGGUUAUGAUAUGUCAUGCUUCAAAGUUGUACUGAAACAUUUGAGUGGAUGCAUCAAAUUAUGUUUCACAUUUGGCUUUUUUCAUUUCUCAAAUUUUGAGUUUAACAGUGUGAUUGAUAGUAAGUUUGUUUAGAUUUUAUUUGCAGUUUCUUACAUAUAUCAUGUUAUUCAUUAUGUAUGAAGUUUGGUAGAUAGUAGAUACCAAAGACAAAUCAAUUUUUUGGAAUCAUUGGAGACAGAAUGUAAGGUCAUUCUUGAAGAUGUUCAGCCAAAAGAUAAGCAUUAUUGAAGGCGUCCAAUGUGGUGAGGUUUUUCCUAUGAUCUUAUUCUAUUGUGAAUCGUUUCACUGUGGUUAGGAAAUCAUAGUAUUAUGGUUAUCAACAAGGAGCAAACACUCUAUGUGUUGAGUCACCUUGUGUUGUCAAGUCUAGCUUGCAAAUCACGAUUUCGAGAUGUUUCUGUUUAAAUGUACAGCAAAUUUUUCCUUUCUGUUAUAUUGCUUUGGGCCUGAUAUGUUUCUCUCACUUUAAUGAAUUGUGUUGUUCUUUUUAAAUGAGUUUUUGUUAGGUGAUAGUUCAUAUGAUGAUUUGGUUCAGUUUCUAUGGGUGCGGCCAUUAAAAUAGUUGAUUUAUACUGUCAUGCUUUGUAAUUUGGUUCUUAUAAAUGUUUUACUUUGAUCUUUCUUUGGAUGCAGUUAUAUGUAGAUCUUCAAUUUCGUAAUGAGAAAUUGACUAUCUUAUGUAUUCUUCAAUUUCCUAUUUGCAAAGGUAUUCUUCUAGUUAAGGUCGAUAUGUUUUGUUGGUCUUUGUAAAGCCUGGCUGUGGUAUAUUGUUAUAAUGUUAUACAAUUCCAUAUCUUUCCCUUUAUAUAUGAGAUCUCAAAGUUGAGAGAUGACAAAAUGUUGGAAGCUAAACUGUUUUUUUCUUUGACUCGAAGGUUCAAAAGAUAAACUUUGGCUUUGAUAUUGCUUGUUCUCUAAGUGAUUUCAUUUGUUUGUUAAGGGUCUUAUUCCUGGAGGUUCUUUAAUUCACAUUGAUGCUAAUUUAGAUGCAACUUUGGAUGUGACCGAGCAUUAUUGGUUCCCUAUGCUGGCUGGUUUAUCUGAUCUAACAUCGAAUCAAAGACCAGAGGUUAGAAGUUGCACACUUGAUGUCUUGUUUGAUUUGAUGAAAGAGGUAGCAAGUUCUCUUCAUCAUUUUGAGAGAGUAUUUUUAAUUUUUUAUCUUCAUCAUUGAGUUCUAUUUCUAAUUUUUUAUCAUGUGAGACAUGCUGGAAAAGAAGGUUUUGUUUCUAGUGAUCAUGAUUGGUUUCAUGAAACAAGCAUACAUUCCCUUUUGCUGCUGUGCAACCUUUUCAGCACAUUCUAUAAGGUAAAGUAAAGAACUAAAGCAAUAUGUUUUUUCUAAUCUUUAACUUUGAUUUCUGAUUGGUCUAGUAACCUAACAUUAGUAUAUGUGACAAGGUAUAUGACAGCUUCCAGGAUCUAUAUGGUGAAAUUUUGCUCAAAACCUAAGUACCACCUAUAAGAUUGAAAUAUAAGUCUUGAACUUGGAAGCAACAUUUGUUUCUUGGAUUUGAGUAAUAUCUCUAGAUCAAUAUAACUGGGGCCAACAAUGAUGUUUCUCGAUUACCUAUGUUGACGAGAGGAAAACAUUAUCCUUAUUGUUUAUACAUGUUCACAUGAACUUCAUAUCUUUGAUUGUUUAAAUGAUUUGCAUCCUGGUGAUCACAUAGAGAUUUAGUGAAGGAAAAACAAAGAAUAUCCUUAUGGUCAUUUCAUUUACCAUAAAUAAUAUUGAUAUUCUUCUAAAUUUUCUCUCUAAUACCAUGUUAAUUAAUAAUAAAAGAGACUUUGUUUGAUUCAAAACCUUAUAUCAGUUAGUAGAUCAUUUCUAUUGUUAUGGUAGGUUGGUGGAAUGGUUUUGUAGGUCACUUGGAGUCAUGUGAUGGGAAUGAAAACCAUUGGUACUAUCAUAUUAGUGGUAAAGAUUAAAGCUAAUAUAGAAGAUUUGAAGAUGGAAACUUGAAGAUGAAAGUUAUAGGCUAUUAAGUAGGCACAAGUUGUUUUUAAGUUGAAACUUGUAUGUUUAUUAGUAUAAUCCUUUACAAUAGUUUAGGAUUGACAUUAUUUAUCUAUCACCAACUUUAAGUUUGU